GGCUUAGCGAAGGUUCCAACUCUUUUUUUUAAGGCGAGUCUGACGGACUGAUUAUGAGCCUCAUAAAACGAGGGCUGAUGACUCAUUAUCUUCAGGAAUCACAUUUAAAACUCAGUUGAAUAAAAGUUAACUUGCCUGAUGGACUACAGGUUCUAAAAUUAGCUUCAUUUCCAGCCAUCAUUGUGCUCCUUGAAACAACCACACCUGAUUUUUCCAUUUCUUAAUAAGUGAUUGAAGAGUACUCACUGGCAUUUGCAAGGCUUUGAAUAUAUGUUUCUAUCCUUUUCUAUCUUUUUUUAUCCUUUUCCAUUACCUUGUUGCGCAGUUCUUUUGACUGUUCUUUUCUGCUCCCCAUGGCUCAGUAUCAAGCCUUCACAGUGCAUACAUGUGAGAGCCAACAAAAUCAUUGACAAUUCAUACACAGACACUAAUUGCAAUUUAAAAAGCCACAGAUGUGGGAGGUUCACCUUUUAAUUGCCAUUUUCACCUGUGUGUGUGUCAGUAAUAAGGCCAAACAUUCAAGGGUAUGUAAACUUUUGAUCAGGGCCAUUUGGGUGAUUUUUGUUAUCGUUAUGAUUUAAAAAGGAGCCAAACAACUACGUGAUAAGAAAUGGCUUCAUAUGAUCACUAUCCUUAAAGAAAAGACAGAUUGUUUGCAUGAUCAGUUUUCAAAAUCAAUGACAACAUUUCACAAUUUCUGCCAGGGUUUGCAAACUUAUGAGCACAACUGUGUGUUACUUCUGUCAUUGAUGUAUUGUUAACAUCAACUUCCUUCACACCACCAGCUCCUUUAAAAGAUCCAAUAUCUCCAACAUCCUUCAGAAUAAUCACCUUUAUUUUGAAGUCCUAUUUUGUACAAUGGAGCUGCUAACAUAGCCUGUCAUGAACACACCAUCAAAAGAAGUGGAUCCAAGCACAGAGCUUUUAAUAAAACGCAAUCCAAAGGCCAGAACCACAGGGCAAGCAAAAGGCUGGUACACGGAAAGGUCAGAAUCGGCAGGAACAAGGUACAAAAGGACUAAGGCAGAUAUGAAGUCAAAACACUACAUGGAAGGCAAAGGUCCGGUACACUGGUAAAUACUUAGAAAUUGCAAGAAAAAGGCUCUGUAGAGUUGUACAUACAAACAAUAUCUCAAAAGGAACUGAAUGCUAACUAGAGACACACUACAAACAGGUGUGUAGGAAAACAGGUGAAACCAAUGGAGAUAAUAACAGGCAUGACUUCUUGAGGACUGAGCAUAAAUACAGUAUAUUAUACUUAAACUGUAACUGAAAAAAGAGAAAUUCUAACUACUUGAAUUAACAACUCUGCCUCUCUCUGAC
ensembl:lncRNA